AACGAACGCUGGCGGCAUGCCUAACACAUGCAAGUCGAACGAUGCCUUCGGGCAUAGUGGCGCACGGGUGCGUAACGCGUGGGAACCUGCCCUUCGGUUCGGAAUAACUCAGGGAAACUUGAGCUAAUACCGGAUAACGUCGCAAGACCAAAGAUUAAUCACCGAAAGAUGAACCCGCGUAGGAUUAGCUGGUUGGUGAGAUAUAGACUCACCAAGGGAAAGAUUCUUAGCAUGGCUGUGAGAAUGAUCAGCCUCACAGGUAGUGAGACACGAGCAAGACUCCUACGAGAGGCAGCAGUGCAAAAUAUUGGACAAAGGACGAAAGGCUGAUCCAGCGAUGGCGCGUAAGUGGUGAAGGCCUGGUGGUUGUAAAUCUCUUUUACCCGGGAAGAGAAUGGCAGUACCGGGAUAGGAAGCCCCAGCUAACUCCGUG
rnacentral:rRNA from 1 species